CAGUCGCCGCGGUAAUACGUAGGGUGCAAGCGUUAAUCGGAAUUACUGGGCGUAAAGCGUGCGCAGGCGGUUAUAUAAGACAGAUGUGAAAUCCCCGGGCUCAACCUGGGAACUGCAUUUGUGACUGUAUAGCUAGAGUACGGCAGAGGGGGAUGGAAUUCCGCGUGUAGCAGUGAAAUGCGUAGAUAUGCGGAGGAACACCGAUGGCGAAGGCAAUCCCCUGGGCCUGUACUGACGCUCAUGCACGAAAGCGUGGGGAGCAAACAGGAUUAGAGACCCCAGUAGUCCCUGUCUCUUAUAA
rnacentral:rRNA from 1 species